AGCCCAGAGCCUGAAUCAGUGUGUGUGUUAGUGGAAGCGUCUGGAAAGGCGCGCGAUACAGGGUGACAGCCCCGUACACAAAAAUGCACAUGCUGUGAGCUCGAUGAGUAGGGCGGGACACGUGGUAUCCUGUCUGAAUAUGGGGGGACCAUCCUCCAAGGCUAAAUACUCCUGACUGACCGAUAGUGAACCAGUACCGUGAGGGAAAGGCGAAAAGAACCCCGGCGAGGGGAGUGAAAAAGAACCUGAAACCGUGUACGUACAAGCAGUGGGAGCACGCUUAGGCGUGUGACUGCGUACCUUUUGUAUAAUGGGUCAGCGACUUAUAUUCUGUAGCAAGGUUAACCGAAUAGGGGAGCCGAAGGGAAACCGAGUCUUAACUGGGCGUUAAGUUGCAGGGUAUAGACCCGAAACCCGGUGAUCUAGCCAUGGGCAGGUUGAAGGUUGGGUAACACUAACUGGAGGACCGAACCGACUAAUGUUGAAAAAUUAGCGGAUGACUUGUGGCUGGGGGUGAAAGGCCAAUCAAACCGGGAGAUAGCUGGUUCUCCCCGAAAGCUAUUUAGGUAGCGCCUCGUGAAUUCAUCUCCGGGGGUAGAGCACUGUUUCGGCAAGGGGGUCAUCCCGACUUACCAACCCGAUGCAAACUGCGAAUACCGGAGAAUGUUAUCACGGGAGACACACGGCGGGUGCUAACGUCCGUCGUGAAGAGGGAAACAACCCAGACCGCCAGCUAAGGUCCCAAAGUCAUGGUUAAGUGGGAAACGAUGUGGGAAGGCCCAGACAGCCAGGAUGUUGGCUUAGAAGCAGCCAUCAUUUAAAGAAAGCGUAAUAGCUCACUGGUCGAGUCGGCCUGCGCGGAAGAUGUAACGGGGCUAAACCAUGCACCGAAGCUGCGGCAGCGACGCUGAUGCGUUGUUGGGUAGGGGAGCGUUCUGUAAGCCUGUGAAGGUGUGCUGUGAGGCAUGCUGGAGGUAUCAGAAGUGCGAAUGCUGACAUAAGUAACGAUAAAGCGGGUGAAAAGCCCGCUCGCCGGAAGACCAAGGGUUCCUGUCCAACGUUAAUCGGGGCAGG
rnacentral:rRNA from 1 species